rnacentral:rRNA from 1 species
GACAGAGGGUGCAAACGUUGUUCGGAAUUACUGGGCGUAAAGCGCACGUAGGCGGACAUUUAAGUUGGAGGUGAAAGCCUUGGGCUCAACCCAAGAAUUGCCUUUGAUACUGGAUGUCUCGAGACCGGGAGAGGUGAGUGGAAUUCCGAGUGUAGAGGUGAAAUUCGUAGAUAUUCGGAAGAACACCAGUGGCGAAGGCGGCUCACUGGCCCGGUUCUGACGCUGAGGUGCGAAAGCGUGGGGAGCAAACAGG